rnacentral:rRNA from 1 species
UGCGUAGGUGGCAAGCGUUGUCCGGAUUUACUGGGUGUAAAGGGCGUGCAGCCGGGAAGAUAAGUCAGAUGUGAAAUCCCGCGGCUCAACCGCGGAACUGCAUUUGAAACUGUUUUUCUUGAGUACCGGAGAGGUCAUCGGAAUUCCUUGUGUAGCGGUGAAAUGCGUAGAUAUAAGGAAGAACACCAGUGGCGAAGGCGGAUGACUGGACGGCAACUGACGGUGAGGCGCGAAAGCGUGGGAAGCAAACAGG